rnacentral:rRNA from 1 species
AGUGAACGCUGGCGGCGUGCCUAAUACAUGCAAGUCGAACGGACAAGUAAGAGUUUGCUCUUAUGAGUUAGUGGCGCACGGGUGAGUAAUGUAUAGCUAAUCUGCCCUACACUAGAGGACAACAGUUGGAAACGGCUGCUAAUACUCUAUACUCCUGUCUUACAUAAGUUAGAUAGGGAAAGUUUUUCGGUGUAGGAUGAGGCUAUAUUGUAUCAGCUAGUUGGUGAGGUAAUGGCUCACCAAGGCUAUGACGCAUAACUGGUCUGAGAGGAUGAUCAGUCACACUGGAACUGAGACACGGUCCAGACUCCUACGGGAGGCAGCAGUAGGGAAUAUUGCUCAAUGGGGGAAACCCUGAAGCAGCAACGCCGCGUGGAGGAUGACACUUUUCGGAGCGUAAACUCCUUUUGUUAGGGAAGAACAAGACGGUAC